CCUCAACCUCACAAAGUGCUGGGGUUACAGGUGUGAGUCAUUGCACCUGGCCCAAUAUUCAUUUUUUUAAAGUUCCUUCUGACUUCCCUCUUUAGUCUGACCAUUUUUUCAUUUCACUGUUUCUCAGAAAAGAGCUAUCUGACUUGUGAGUUGGUUGUGACAUUAAUUCUAGAAAAAUGAUAUACAGCUUGACAAGAAUUCUGUGCAUUUCUCUCUUCUUUUGUUUAAAAACCAUAGAUUUUUGUUAUGAAAACUUAAAAAUACAGAUAGAGAAAAACUGGAGUAAUUUCUCUCUACACAUCAGCUAGAGUCAGCAGUUAUCAGAAUUUUGCCACGUGGCUUCUUUUUUAUAUCUGGAAUUUAUUUUGAGAAUUUAGUUCUUUUGAGCAGCCCAGUUUUCUUGUCAUCAGAUCACACUGCCUUCAGUUAUGCUAUUUUUUAAGUAGGAGUUCUUUAAAAAUAGAACUCAUGAGUCUUAGAUUUCUAAAGUGUUCUUUCAUGGAAUCCUGCUUUAUAUCUUACAUACUGUCUCCUUUGGAAAUCUGGCUAGAGAUUUUUAUAACUUAUGCAACCUGGUUUUUUAGAUAGUGAUAGUGGUAGGCUCUCACUUUUUAAGUUUAUAUUUUGCUCAAUAUUCACAGAAUCACAGAUUCUCAGAAUUUGAAGGGAUGCAGUUACUUAGCUGACAACUUCUUCUCAUAGGUGAAAUAGAAAGAUUUGAUUUGAACUAUUUAUUAUACCUUUAAACAAACCUAAACCAUGAGAGAAACAUUGAUUUAGAAUCUGAAAAAAGCUAUGAUUAAUAUAUGUUCUUUGUAGUAACUUGAGAAACUACAAAAAAUUAUGAAGAUGAAAAAUUAGACGUAGCUACUAAAAUUACCUACUCAGAAACAAUCAUUUAUAUUGUGGCAUAUUUCCUUCUGCCCGUUCUAUAUUUAGUAAAAUGAGUACCAGCUUAUUGCAUAUUCUACAUGUACUUUAUUUUUCUACAUACAUUUUCAUGUUAUGAGCAAUAUAUUUUGGUGACCUACUGCACACUGAGUGUAGGUUCUAGAGACCGCAGAGUUGAUGACAUCUAAUCAAAGUUACCUUUGAAAAGUGCCCUCUUAAUCAUGAGCACUUUUGUAAGCUUGAAGUUCAAUAAUUAUCCAGUUUUGAUCUUUUUGCAUUUUGGAUGUAGCCUUCCUUUCUAUCCCUCUCUGAACAGUCGGGCAAGGAAGGGGAGAGAUUUUCCCCUUUUGGCGCUUAUAGCCAAGUUGGAGGAAUACAAUUCUGGUAAAAUGUGGCUCCGGAUUAUGAGUAUUUAGUUUGUUUGAUUGCUUUCUUCCCCCAAGGACUGUGAUUUACCCUCUCAGCAUAUAUCCAGGGGUGAUAGUCAAAAUGUUAACAUCCUCAAAAAUUCUGACCAGAAGCUCCCUGUGCUGAAAAUUUCCAAGAUGGAUUCCAAAACAGAUGACUUUCCACAUCUUCAAAUCAGGCUUACCUUUCCUUGAUUCAACCUGCAGACCUCAGUCCACCAGCUAUAAACACUGCCAGUUAUGAAUCUUACAGUAAUUUGUGGAUUCUUAUUGUGGUCAGUGGAGAGAAUCUGGGACUUACCUAACUCUCUAGAAGUAGUUUAAAAGGGCUAAUGGUGGCUACAAAGUCACAUAAACAAAAUUUAGGUUAAAAGUUGGCACACGUAUAAAGUGGGAGAUACAGUUUAAAACUCAUUUUAUUCUAUUAAAAUUUUGUAUCUUUUUUAGCCUAAAGAGUUACAAUUUUCAUUUAUUUAAAAUAAACCAACUUUGAAACAGAAA